UUAUUAUUGAGUCAUCUUCAAGCUUGUCUUAGUCUUUGUGACUCCAUUUGGGGUUUCCUUGGCAAAGACACUGAAGUGUUUAGCAUCUCCUUCUACAGUUUAUUUUACAGAUGGAAGCCAGGGAAGUCAAGGGUAGAGAUGAUCAGGAAGAGAAUUCUAGGUAUGGGAGGAGAGCCAGUGAAAAUGAGGCAACUGAAACAAAUAAGGGUCUUGAUAUGCACGUGAAGCAUUGUCAGUUCCUGUUUUCAUCCAGGAAUCCUUCCUACUCAGCCUUCAACUCUAAAUGGAAACACUUCUGAGAUUAAGCACUUCUUCUAAGGGUACAAAUGGCAACCCAUCACAUCUUUGCAUCCUGGCAAUAUUGGUCAAGUCCUCCCCUCAAGUCUCUUGGAAUCUAUCGAUCCAAAGAGUUUUUCAAGACUUCAAUGGCCAAAGGACUUUAAAAGAAUGCAUACCAUUUAAUCCAACAAUACCAC
rnacentral:lncRNA from 1 species